GACGAACGCUGGCGGCGUGCUUAACACAUGCAAGUCGAACGAAGUGGCGCACGGGCGAGUAACGCGUAAUCAACCCGCCCUUCAGAGGGGGAUAACAGUUGGAAACGACUGCUAAUACCGCAUCCUGAAGCAGGGGAUUGCGUCUGAUUAGCUAGUUGGAGGGUUAACGGCCCACCAAGGCGAUGAUCAGUAGCCGGUCUGGGAGGAUGAACGGCCACAUUGGGGCUGAGACACGGCCCAGACUCCUACGGGAGGCAGCAGUAGGGAAUCUUCCGCAAUGGACGGAAGUCUGACGGAGCAACGCCGCGUGAGUGAUGACGGCCUUCGGGUUGUAAAGCUCUGUUGAUAGGGACGCGGUACCGAAAUAGAAAGCCACGGCUAACUACGUGCCAGCAGCCGCGGUAAUAC
rnacentral:rRNA from 1 species